UACGUAGGGUGCGAGCGUUAAUCGGAAUUACUGGGCGUAAAGCGUGCGCAGGCGGUGCUGUAAGACCGAUGUGAAAUCCCCGGGCUUAACCUGGGAACUGCAUUGGUGACUGCAGCGCUGGAGUAUGGCAGAGGGGGGUGGAAUUCCACAUGUAGCAGUGAAAUGCGUAGAGAUGUGGAGGAACACCGAUGGCGAAGGCAGCCCCCUGGGCCAAUACUGACGCUCAUGCACGAAAGCGUGGGGAGCAAACAGG
rnacentral:rRNA from 1 species